GGCAUUUGGCAUCAGCAGACAGGCAACCCAAACUGCACCAUGGGCCAUGCACACCUUGAGAUCCUCUGCAACUUCCUGGUCUCUGAGCAGAUCAGGAGAGGUGGUGGUUUGGACAAGAGAGAGCCUGGGCCUUUUCCUGAUCCUCUUCCAUGUCUUUGACAAGCACUGCCUCCUGAAGAGGCCACUUCCCUGCUAUGUAAUGGUUCCAUCUGAUCCAGCUGUGCCUCUUCCUUUCUCAAGGGAUGGACAGAGAGGCUCUAUGGAAGGCGGCAUUUCCUGAACGAAGGGAGGCAAUUGCAGGCACGGGCCCAGGCACAGGAGAUGCAGCCAGCACAACACGUGUUCCCAAUUCCCAGAAGGGCAUCGGAAGAGGUUUCUAUCAAGGAACACGCUGUUGGCUAGAAUUAAUGGCAGGCCUGCUUUGUUUGGUGCAUUUCUUCGUUUUAUGCGGUGUUGGAAUCUGGUAUGCCUGGAAGAGAAAACAGAGCGCCUCUGCACCUCCAGAUGUCCGGCCAAACAGCUCAGUGUUGUGAAAAAUGAGGUUCACAUAUUUUUCUUAUAGAAU